UAGAAAAAUAGGAAGUUUACCAGAGGAGUUGCUUCUGUGAAAUCCAUCAGGAGAUCUCCAGGCUCCAAGGUAAAGGUCCCUCCCCGGUCAGAGGGGCUCUGCAAAGAAUGAACAGCAAUCCCUGCUGUGCUUCUUCCACCUCCCAACAACCAACCUGUCAGCGAAGCAGACCAAGAAACCCGCAGAUGCCCUGCCUCUAACAGAACGCUGAUGUCCGGUAGCUGAGAUGCUGACGUCCGGUAGCUGAGACGUCUCCCACAGGGAUUGUGCAGCCUGACGUCUCUCUCAGGCUAGCAUGAGACUGACAAGAAGAUAUGCUACCAGUGUUUGCCUCUGGGGAGAACUGGGGAACUGAGGAAUAAAAUGGAAAGGAG